GAAAAGAAGACUCAUCGUAUGGUGAAGCAAAGAAAAGAAGGAGCCAUUCAUAGGGCCCCAGCAACUUUCAUGGAGUAGUGUUAUGGAUCAGCCACAUGUAGUACAGAACUUAAGGGUUUGUUAGUCUCUCUCCUGUGAGAAUCUGAUGUGACAGUCACAAAAUAUGAAAGCAGAGAACCAAAUCUUACCUGAAGCUGGAGAUCAAAGACAGCCAAUUCUUCUCAACGUGCUCAACGAGAGGCUGGACCCCACUCCACAGGCUGAAAGAGGAAACUGAGGUGAAUUCUACAGCAGCUUUGAGCAGUUCCGCCAGGUUUCCUCUUCCUUUGGUGCUUCUUCUUCCUCCUCUUCCUCUGGGUCAUCGGUAUCUCCUGAUUCAUCACUGUCUUCCACCCAUUUCCCUGGCAUCAGUCCUGCUGAAUCAUAGGAGUUGCAUAGAGGACCCACAAUGUGAGAGAUGAAGGAUUCCUGAAGAUUGGCCAACUGAGGAGCAGAA